rnacentral:lncRNA from 1 species
CUGUGACACCCCUGCCCCUCCCCCCACACCCAGCAUGCCUUCAUUUUUCUGCUUGAAAACUAGGGGUGACAGAAAUCUGUUCUAUCUUUAGGACAUCAUGAAAAUGAAAUGACAUGCUCCAUGAGGAAACUGAACCAGGCUAAUACUGAAGGCGUAAAGGGAGCGUACAAAGGGAUACCAGGAAGCCUGGAGGGAAAAAACAAAAGAAUGGCGAAUGGAUGUAUAUAUAUGGAAGCUGAUUUUCGUGUGGAAAAACCACAUGCCAUGGUGUAG